UGGCGAACGGGUGAGUAACGCGUGAGGAACCUGCCUCAAAGAGGGGGGAAACAGUUGGAAACGACUGCUAAUACCGCAUAAGCCCACGACCCGGCAUCGGGAAGAGGGAAAAGGAGCAAUCCGCUUUGAGAUGGCCUCGCGUCCGAUUAGCUAGUUGGUGAGGUAACGGCCCACCAAGGCGACGAUCGGUAGCCGGACUGAGAGGUUGAACGGCCACAUUGGGACUGAGACACGGCCCAA
rnacentral:rRNA from 1 species